rnacentral:rRNA from 1 species
GACGAACGCUGGCGGCGUGCCUAAUACAUGCAAGUAGAACGCACAGUUUAUACCGUAGCUUGCUACACCAUAAACUGUGAGUUGCGAACGGGUGAGUAACGCGUAGGUAACCUGCCUGGUAGCGGGGGAUAACUAUUGGAAACGAUAGCUAAUACCGCAUAAUAUUGAUUAUUGCAUGAUAAUUGAUUGAAAGAUGCUAUUGCAUCACUACCAGAUGGACCUGCGUUGUAUUAGCUAGUAGGGGAGGUAACGGCUCACCCAGGCGACGAUACAUAGCCGACCGGGAGGGGUUGUCGGGCAACAUGGGAACGAGACCCGGGCCAGAAUCCUACGGGGAGCAGCAGUAGGGAAUUUUCGGCAAUGGACGAAAGUCUGACCGAGCAACGCCGCGUGAGUGAAGAAGGUUUUCGGAUCGUAAAGCUCUGUUGUAAGAGAAGAACGGGUGUGAGAGUGGAAAGUUCACACUGUGACGGUAUCUUACCAGAAAGGGACGGCUAACUACGUG